AAGUCGUAACAAGGUUUCCGUAGGUGAACCUGCGGAAGGAUCAUUAUUGAGUCCAUUCAUAUUCGUGAACCAAAUUUGCUUGGCUCCUGUUAAGGGGGCCGAAUUUUAACACCAUUUGAUUUGUCUGACUGAAAUUAUUAAAAAUUUAAAA
rnacentral:misc_RNA from 1 species